AGUGGCGAACGGGGGGGGGGCGCGUAGGAAUAUACCUUUUUGUGGGGGACAACUGGGGAGCNCUCGAGCUAAUACCGCAUAUUAUCUUCGGAUUAAAGCUGGGGACCUUCGGGCCUGGUGCAAAAAGAUUAGCUUGGUCCCGGUUAGCUAGUAGGUAGGGUAAAGGCCUACCAAGGCAACGAUCGGUAGCUGGUCUGANAGGAUGAUCAGCCACACUGGGACUGAGACACGGCCCAAACUCCUACGGGAGGCAGCAGUGGGGAAUAUUGGACAAUGGGCGCAAGCCUGAUCCAGCAAUGCCGCGUGUGUGAAGAAGGCCUUCGGGUUGUAAAGCACUUUCAGUGGGGAGGAAAGGUUUUUGUUUAAUAGAUGAAAGCUGUGACGUUACCUACAGAANAAGCACCGGCUAACUCCGUGCCAGCACCCCCGGUAAUACGGAGGGUGCAAGCGUUAAUCGGAAUUACUGGGCGUAAAGGGUUCGUAGGUGGUUUUAUAAGUUGGCUGUGAAAGCCCCGGGCUCAACCUGGGAUGGUCAGUCAAAACUAUAAAACUAGAGUGUAGUAGAGGGGUGUGGAAUUUCCGGUGUAGCGGUGAAAUGCGUAAAGAUCGGAAGGAGCACCAGUGGCGAAGGCGGCACCCUGGACUAAUACUGACACUGAGGAACGAAAGCGUGGGGAGCAAACAGGAUUAAAUACCCUGUUAGUCCACGCCGA
rnacentral:rRNA from 1 species